rnacentral:rRNA from 1 species
UACGUAGGGUGCGAGCGUUAAUCGGAAUUACUGGGCGUAAAGCGUGCGCAGGCGGUGAUGUAAGACCGAUGUGGAAUCCCCGGGCUUAACCUGGGAACUGCAUUGGUGACUGCAUUGCUGGAGUAUGGCAGAGGGGGGUGGAAUGCCGCGUGUAGCAGUGAAAUGCGUAGAGAUGCGGCGGAACACCGAUGGCGAAGGCAGCCCCCUGGGCUGAGAUUGACGCUCAGGCACGAAAGCGUGGGGAGCAAACAGG